rnacentral:rRNA from 1 species
AUUGAACGCUGGCGGCAGGCCUAACACAUGCAAGUCGAGCGGAUGAAGGGAGCUUGCUCCUGGAUUCAGCGGCGGACGGGUGAGUAAUGCCUAGGAAUCUGCCUGGUAGUGGGGGAUAACGUCCGGAAACGGGCGCUAAUACCGCAUACGUCCUGAGGGAGAAAGUGGGGGAUCUUCGGACCUCACGCUAUCAGAUGAGCCUAGGUCGGAUUAGCUAGUUGGUGGGGUAAAGGCCUACCAAGGCGACGAUCCGUAACUGGUCUGAGAGGAUGAUCAGUCACACGGGAACUAAGACACGGUCCAGACUCCGACGGGAGGCAGCAGGGGGGAAUAUUGGACAAGGGGCGAAAGCCUGACCCCGCCAUGCGGGGGGUGUGAAGAAGUUCUUCGGAUUGUAAAGCAUUUUAAGUGGGGAGGAGGGGCAGUAAUUUAAUCCUUUGCUGUUUUGACGUUACCAAAAAAAAAAGCCCCGGCUAAUUUCGUG